UUCCAUCACUGUUUGAUUGCACUGAUCUGUUUAACACCUGUCUGUGAAUCACCUGAGUCUAGUCUCUUCAUUAGUUGUAGAAAUAGUCUUGUCUUUGUCUUUUGGCAGUUUGGCCUGUCUGACACUUGGUUUAUUCCUGUUUAAGCUUUUGCACUCUUUUUUCUUGGAUUAGUUUUUAUUUGAACUUUGCAUUUUCCCUGGAUUCUCCAGCUGUCUCGUUUGCUCGCCACCUUUUGAAACAAAGCAGAGUUGCAGAAAGAGGAAAGUUUACCAUCUUCACGUGUAACUGAAGUGGAACUCUAGUGCCCUCUACUGGUGAAAAGCGGCACAGGAAGUGCUUCUCUAAGAAGAGGUCGCUUGACAUGAGGGGGGGACACUGCCGAAAAGUCACGUAAGGACGGAAGAAAAACAUUUCCACGCGGUUGUUGUUCGACGCGAAGCUUGUGUAAAGGAUUCUAAGCACCCAGCUGGAAUGGGAACAGCCCUUACCGUGUUUUAUUUUGAAGUAAGACUGACGGACAAAAAAGUUGCAUUUUAUGUUCAAAGUAACGUUGAUGGCUG
ensembl:lncRNA